AACCAAUGAUGAUGACACCUUCUGAAUAUAUCCUUAAAUCUGUCCCAUGCAUUAUAUAAUGUCUCCAAAUCAAUUUGAGAAAAAGAAUAGAUAUCGUUCCCUAACUU
rfam:Gossypium hirsutum cultivar TM-1 chromosome 4, whole genome shotgun sequence